UGCAGAUGAUGUGAGAGAAUAUUUGCUAUCCGAGCGUCGGUGCGGACGUCCCAAACCACCAAGAUCGCUGAUGCA